rnacentral:lncRNA from 10 species
GGAAGAAGAAAACUUAUUACUUCAUUCACGAAUUGUCUAGAAGCUAUUGCAUACAUAUCAUGAAAUGUCAGCAGCAAAACCCAGACAGGAAGCAAGUAGACAAGCAUCACUCUCCUUAGGAAGAUGAAAGCAUAUUACUUCAUUCAUGAUUUGUCUGGAAGCUAUUGCAUAGAUACCAUGAUACGUCAGCAGCAAAAGCCAGACAGGAAACAAGUAGACAAGAAUCACAAUGAUCUCUGCAAUUACAUUUUCAAAUAGAAACUGUUGACAAUCUACAUACUGUUGAAAUUAAUAUUUACUUCUGAUAUUUUAAACCAUGCUUCAGAGAGGACUGAAAUAUUUAGUAGAUGUUUUCACUUUAGUCAUGCAAUUUUGUAUUAAAGGCAAUAAGACGGUAUUCUAAAAACAACAUAUUUAUUUGUUGUAAAUUUGAAGUGUUUGGAUUUUCUGUAUUGUAUCAAAUGGCAAAAUAUCAUUGCUGAAACAGUAAAACAGAAAACAUCAACAAAAAAAAUCACACAAAAAUGAAUAAUGGGUUUGUCAUCUGAAGCUCAGCAAGAUUUUAUGACUAAAACAUUUUAAGAAAUCAACACAUCUUGCCAUGUUUUUACCUACCCCAAGUUCUGAUUGCCAGACUGAAGUUUUGCUAAUGAAAGGCCCUCAUUUGCUGCCUCUUGUACAUCUUUUAUCUACCUCCCCAACCAUGUCUAUUGAUACUCUGUACCACAAUCAGGACUUUUCAUUUAAAAAUAGAUGAUCUGAUGAAGA